rnacentral:sRNA from 12 species
GUAUAAUGAUGCAAUAAUCGGCAACUCAGUGAAGAGGGUUUAGUCAGCCUUGCUGAGAACGGUUUGAAUGCAAAGUCUUGUUUAUAUGGGAUACUGUAUAAUUAAGGCUUCUUGUUGAUAGUGAUUGAUACAGGGUAAAGACAGAGGUCUUAAGUGCAAGAACCGGUUGCCGGUCUAUAUGAGCAAAUAGUAAAUCCAACGAGUCGGAGCGAUAAUUGAGGAGAUUCACAGCAAUGGGAAUCAAUGCGGCUCUUAAGUGCUAUAUGGGGACAUAUAGAUUACUGAGAGUAAUUCCAAAACAAGCUCUUGCCAAUGAACCGGAGAAAUCCGGCUAUAAGACAAAACAGGAUUGUGCGAGUACCACAAGGCGUUCUUUUACAAGAAUAUUUUUGGUAAAUAUUUUAAUGAAAAUGCUGAAUGACGUGGGAAAGUUGGGGGUAUCAUUCCCCUCAGAGCAUUGGGCGAAAGCCGGGGCGUACAGGUUAGGACGACGGUCCGAAGCUUCAGGUAUGUCUCCUCUGUGACAGAAUAUUGCGUAGUAUAGGUUUGGGUAGGGCGAAGGUCCGCCGAUUAUUGUUUUUUUUA